rnacentral:rRNA from 1 species
AUUAGUGGCGAACGGGUGAGUAACACGUGAGUAACCUGCCCUUGACUCUGGGAUAAGCGCUAGAAAUGGCGUCUAAUACCGGAUACGAGCUUCAGCCGCAUGGCUAGGAGUUGGAAAGAAUUUUGGUCAAGGAUGGACUCGCGGCCUAUCAGCUAGUUGGUGAGGUAAUGGCUCACCAAGGCGACGACGGGUAGCCGGCCUGAGAGGGUGACCGGCCACACUGGGACUGAGACACGGCCCAGACUCCUACGGGAGGCAGCAGUGGGGAAUAUUGCACAAUGGGCGAAAGCCUGAUGCAGCAACGCCGCGUGAGGGAUGACGGCCUUCGGGUUGUAAACCUCUUUUAGUAGGGAAGAAGCGAAAGUGACGGUACCUGCAGAAAAAGCACCGGCUAACUACGUGCCAGCAGCCGCGGUAAUACGUAGGGUGCAAGCGUUGUCCGGAAUUAUUGGGCGUAAAGAGCUCGUAGGCGGUUUGUCGCGUCUGCUGUGAAAUCUGGGGGCUCAACCCCCAGCCUGCAGUGGGUACGGGCAGACUAGAGUGCGGUAGGGGAGAUUGGAAUUCCUGGUGUAGCGGUGGAAUGCGCAGAUAUCAGGAGGAACACCGAUGGCGAAGGCAGAUCUCUGGGCCGUAACUGACGCUGAGGAGCGAAAGCAUGGGGAGCGAACAGGAUUAGAUACCCUGGUAGUCCAUGCCGUAA